rnacentral:rRNA from 1 species
UUAAAUUGAAGAGUUUGAUCAUGGCUCAGAUUGAACGCUGGCGGCAGGCCUAACACAUGCAAGUCGAACGGUAACAGGAAGCAGCUUGCUGCUUCGCUGACGAGUGGCGGACGGGUGAGUAAUGUCUGGGAAACUGCCUGAUGGAGGGGGAUAACUACUGGAAACGGUAGCUAAUACCGCAUAAUGUCGCAAGACCAAAGAGGGGGACCUUCGGGCCUCUUGCCAUCGGAUGUGCCCAGAUGGGAUUAGCUUGUUGGUGGGGUAACGGCUCACCAAGGCGACGAUCCCUAGCUGGUCUGAGAGGAUGACCAGCCACACUGGAACUGAGACACGGUCCAGACUCCUACGGGAGGCAGCAGUGGGGAAUAUUGCACAAUGGGCGCAAGCCUGAUGCAGCCAUGCCGCGUGUAUGAAGAAGGCCUUCGGGUUGUAAAGUACUUUCAGCGGGGAGGAAGGGAGUAAAGUUAAUACCUUUGCUCAUUGACGUUACCCGCAGAAGAAGCACCGGCUAACUCCGUGCCAGCAGCCGCGGUAAUACGGAGGGUGCAAGCGUUAAUCGGAAUUACUGGGCGUAAAGCGCACGCAGGCGGUUUGUUAAGUCAGAUGUGAAAUCCCCGGGCUCAACCUGGGAACUGCAUCUGAUACUGGCAAGCUUGAG